rnacentral:sRNA from 1 species
GGCCAACAGAAGGUGUCAGGACAUGGAAUACACUAUUAAAAAUCUCCAUGCCAAAAUCAUAGAGAAAGAUGCUAUGAUAAAGGUCCUGCAGCAGCGAUCUCGUAAAGAUGCCGGGAAGACAGACUCCUCCAGCCUGCGUCCUGCCCGCUCCGUUCCAUCCAUAGCAGCAGCUACUGGGACACACUCUCGCCAGACCUCUCUUACCAGCAGCCAGCUGGCUGAGGAAAAGAAGGAAGAGAAGACCUGGAAGGGAAGCAUAGGUGAGCCCCACACCUCUGUCAGACCAUGAUUGGAAAAGCAAGACCAGACAGCUUCUCUGCCACUCAUGGGACACGGAAAUGUCCCUGAAUAGUUCCUGGUCUCAGUUUACUCAUCUGUGAAGUGGGGAGGGAAAUCAGUCAUACUUCAGUUAUAGAUAUGUGGAAGCAUUGUGUAAAUUCUAAAGACUGCACCACUGGAGUAGCUCUUAGCCAUGGGUUGACUCAGAUCAGAAUUAUCUAUUAUUGUUGUAAGUUGAGGUGACCCUUAUAACACAAAAGGCUCUCAUAGAAAAGCCUAGAGACAUCAUGCCUCUGAACUUGGCUCUGCUCUAGACCAGUUGUAUGACGGCUCCACCUCUGCUUCCGCAUCUAGAAAGGGAGGACAGUGUCUGCCUGCUUUACCCCAUGGGG